ACCACUCCCUUAAUGGCAUCAUCCACGUAUGUCUUUGUCCACUGGAACAUUUCCUGCAUCGUGGGUUCCGUGGAUGCCGUGCGACAACUCUCACAUCUGGAGUAAGGACAGCUGUCAUCUAAGGGUGUGUUACAUUCGGAACACGCCAAAUGCUUCCUCUUGGCCCCAGUCUUCCGCUGAUCUGGAUCCUUAGGGGAAGCCAUAGUCUGGGAACUGAACUCUAUGAGAACGAUGU